AAACCCGGGUGGAAACCUCAGGGAAAUGCUACAGUAGAUGAACAUACAAUGUAGAAUCUUGAAACACAAAUAAAACUUUCUACCUUUCUCCCAUGUGUUCCUUCAAAUUCUCUUUCAGGCAUUCUUCUAUGUCGGUGUGGGGAAAUAGCUGCUGGGAGCCUUUUUUGUUUCUGGUUGAAAGAAGCAACCAUAAGAAUAGCUAAUAUAGAAUGUGACCAGGAAACCUGAGGAGAAACACUUGGGCCUAAACUAGAAUUGUUCAAAGAUUUGUGAACAUGGACAGAUCACAAAAUUUCCUUGUUUCUUUCCUUUGAUUAAAAGUCAGAAUUCCACUCUUGGGUAUACACCCAAAAGAUGCACAUUUAUACAACAAAGACAUCUGUUCAGCUCUGUUCAUAGCAGCAUUAUUGGUAAUAACCAGAACGCGGAAGCAACCCAGAUGUUCCUCAAUUGAAGAAUGGAUAGAAAAAAUGUGGUACAUUUACACAAUGGAAUACUACUCAGUGGGGAAUAAAACAAUGGAAUCUUGAAAUUUGCAGGCAAAUGGAUGGCACUAGAAGAAACUAUCCUGAGUGAGAGCCUUCACCCAGUGGCUGAUGUAAGCAGAGGCAGACUCCCGCAACUAAACACUGAACUGAACUCCUGGAACCCAGUUGCAGAGAGAGAGGAGUGAAGAGCAAAGGAGUCAAGACUGAGCUGCUGAAACUCACAGAAACAGCUGAUUUGAACAAGGGGGAGCUCAUGGUCCCCAGGCUAAUGGCUGAGAGGCCAGCAUGGGACUGAUCCAGAUCCGUUGAAUGUGCAUGUCCAUGAGGAGGCCUCAACAAUCUAUGGGGCCUCUGGUAGUAGAUCAGUAUUUAUCCCUAGUGUACAAAUGGACUUUGGAAGCCUAUUCCAAAUGGAGGGACGCUCUCUCAACCUGGACACAUGGGGAAGGCCUAGGCCCUGCCCCUGAUGGUAUGACAGACUUUGGGGAUCCCCCAUGAAUGGCCUCACCCUCCCUGGGGAGUGAAG
rnacentral:lncRNA from 1 species